UAGCAACUCCACAUUUUUUUAUUCACUCACAAAGACACAUGGUCAUAAAUAAAAUGCAUGGAACCAGCGAGACAAUAGCACAGCAGUAAUGUCAUUUUAUAUGCAGCAUGGCCCUGUUGUGAACGGAAUGAUUGUGAACGGAAUGAUGGCCAAGGAGCUUUAUGCUUCUGCACCGCCAGCUCACACGAUGGUCCGUGUAUUGCCCCGUGGAAAACCGGGGGUGGAAAGCUGUCUCCACGUUCUGCUGCCGAAGCAGCAAGCUGAUUCACACAUCUUGAAGGCACAGUGGAACAUGGAAGGGUGCAUAUGAGACUUGAUUUUGAGGAUGAAACUUCCUGUCUGAAUCGCUAAGUCUCCCAGCAGGGGUGUUAAUGUCCCUGUGAGAUGCAGGCUUCCCACAGACACACCCAGGUUGCGAGUGGGUUCAACAUGGUCACAGGAGCUUCAAAUGGUAAGAUGGCAAGAUCUGGUAGCAUACUGAGACCACCAACCAGGAAUGGAGGCUUGCUCCCAAGUAACUAAACAUGGACUUGUCUCUGACACGGAAACAAUGUGAAACACAGAAGGCUUUUGAGACUCAGAGGCACUCCAACAAUGAUACUUGAAAACCAGAACAGAGUUUGACACAGAUGGAUGCUUUCCAAAUGUCAUGUCAUUUUUUCAUAUGUCAAGGGCGACCCAAUGUUUGCUUCCUGUUCCCUAGGUGGGUUUUCCAUGGGGACUGCUUCUAACCCCCAAUCCCCACACACUCCACCUGGGCUGAAACUGCUGCCUCUUUUCCAAUAUAUAGAAAGAAAUGUGGCUCCACCCUGCAUUUCCGUAAGACUCAGCUAGUUACAAAUUUAGAACCUUGGAAACAAUGAUAAAACAUUCUUCAAGAGAAAAUAAUCUCCAGGUUUUGUUUCAUUAUCUGUGAGACUAUUCAGUGCUACAUCUGCUGAAGGGCAUAAAAUCCAUAUUUUUGUUUUAAAAAUGGGUCUACUUUGAUGCAGCACCCAAAUUUAAUUACUCUUAAAGCUUUUUAGGAUCCCAGAUGAAAGAUGCUACUGCAGUGUAAAGUUCUAAUAUUAUUUAUUUCCCUAGUCAUCAACAUUAG
rnacentral:lncRNA from 10 species